ensembl:snRNA U6 U6 spliceosomal RNA
UCACUUUAACAGCACAUACACUAAAAUUGGAACAAUAUAGAGAAGAUUACCGUGGCCUCUGUGCGAGGAGGACAUACAAAUUUGUGAAGCAUUCUGUACUUUU